rnacentral:misc_RNA from 1 species
UUUCCGUAGGUGAACCUGCGGAAGGAUCAUUAAAAAUGAAGCCGGGAAACCGGUCCUUCUAACCCUUGAUUAUCUUAAUUUGUUGCUUUGGUGGGCCGCGCAAGCACCGGCUUCGGCUGGAUCGUGCCCGCCAGAGGACACAACUCUGUAUCAAAUGUCGUCUGAGUACUAUAAAAUAGCUAAAACUUUCAACAACGGAUCUCUUGGUUCUG